CAGAAGAAUGGCCAGUAACCGGCAAAGAUCACUCAGAGGACCCAGUCACCCACCUCAUAUGGAAGAACCUUUCCUGCAGAUGGUCCAGGCCAGCAAGCCCCUCCCACCCUCCCAAACGUGGGCUCAGCGUGAGUUCUUCCCCCUCAGUGAGUCCUGGGAGUUCCCCGGCUUCACCCCGCAAGCCUACCACCAGCUGGCCCUGAAGCUGCCGCCCUGCACAGACAUGAAGUCCAAGGUGCGUCAGCGGCUCAUCCAUCCUUGGAAAGGUGGCGCCCAGCACACCUGGGGCUUUCACACGUGGCUCGAUGUGUGCCGUCUGCCUGCCACCUUCCCCACUCGGCCUGACAGGCCCUACGACAGCAAUGUCUGGCGCUGGCUGACAGACUCCAAUGCCCACAGACGCCCCCCCACGGAGCACCCCAUCCCCCCUCCCUCCUGGAUGGGGCAAAACAGCUUCCUGACCUUCAUCCACUGUUAUCCCACGUUUGUGGACAUGAAAAGGAAGAAGCAGGUGAUUUUCAGGACAGUGAAGGAGUUGAAGGAGGUGGAGAAGCUCAAGUUGAGGAGUGAGGCAAGAGCACCUCCACUCGAUGCCCAGGGCAACAUUCAGCCACCAGCGAGCUUCAAGAAGUAAGAUGGCGCCUCCUCAGGGAGCCCACCCAGCCUGCCCUUCCCUGCCCUGCCCAGGUACCGGCAUGUAUCCGCUGGUGGGAGGUUCGAACCCCACGGCCUCCAGCUCACGCCCAACCCACUUCCCAACAAUUUCGCCAGGAGCUGGCCCUGCCCGAACCCUCUGCCUCACUACCAGGAGAAGGUGCUAAAGCUGGUCUUGCUGCCCAGUGCGCCCCUGAGCCAGGACCUCAUAAGGGAUUUCCAAACCCUGAUAAAGGACAGAACUGCCUCACCCCUCCACCAUCUGUCCAAGGCACAAGCAAGCAAAACUCCAGCAAGGAAGAGGAAGAGAAGACCUGGGCACUCCUAGAAGGGCUUCUGGAUGGGUGGGGACGAUCGUGGCACCCAGAGUCCCAGGCUCCAGUGUUCUCAAUCAAUGCUCCUUCAGCAAGAGGCCCUGCGGUAGCAAAAGGACUCUGGCAUCCGCAGAACAGCCUCUCCACCAUCCUCCCAGCCUCAAGCCACCUCUGUACCCCAGGCUAUUGGAGACUCAACUGAA